rnacentral:rRNA from 1 species
GACGAACGCUGGCGGCGUGCUUAACACAUGCAAGUCGAACGGAAAGGCCCUGCUUUUGUGGGGUGCUCGAGUGGCGAACGGGUGAGUAACACGUGAGUAACCUGCCCUUGACUUUUGGAUAACUUCAGGAAACUGGGGCUAAUACCGGAUAGGAGCUCCUGCUGCAUGGUGGGGGUUGGAAAGUUUCGGCGGUUGGGGAUGGACUCGCGGCUUAUCAGCUUGUUGGUGGGGUAGUGGCUUACCAAGGCUUUGACGGGUAGCCGGCCUGAGAGGGUGACUGGCCACAUUGGGACUGAGAUACGGCCCAGACUCCUACGGGAGGCAGCAGUGGGGAAUAUUGCACAAUGGGCGGAAGCCUGAUGCAGCAACGCCGCGUGCGGGAUGACGGCCUUCGGGUUGUAAACCGCUUUCGCCUGUGACGAAGCGUGAGUGACGGUAAUGGGUAAAGAAGCACCGGCUAACUACGUG